rnacentral:lncRNA from 1 species
CCCAUGAAAGGAUCAGCCUCCUAAGACCAAGAUCAGCAAUCAUACUCUUCUUUUUCUUCACUCCAGCCAUCUGCUAACAAGAAAAGAAAGGCAAAUAUCUUGGGAAUAAGAACCCAGUUGGGAUAAAUAUUCCAGGAUGCUUUGAAUGUCAAGGCCUGCCUUCCAAGUUUACCUUGCUUCCUGUGAGCCUUGAAAAACCGAAAAUAAGCUUUGGAAGAGAUGCCAAGUAGAAGUUUGCAUGGGGAGAAGAUACUAGUGAGAACGAAGCAUAUAAAACUGGGCCCAGGACUAUGAUAGGAAGAAGUCAAAUUAAAGAGAAGGUACAGAGUAGGAAAUGUAUUAGUAACGUGUGAAAGCAUUUGGAGCCUGCAGCCAAGAAGAGGGAGAGAGAGGGAAAGAAGGGGAAGAAAAGCAAAGAGCUCAGAAGAGGGACUUUUCUUCUAUUGCCAGUUUCUUCUGUACUUUUGCCCAGAUCAAUAGAGGAAGUCAAAAGAAAAACAAAAAUGAAAACAUGCAAAUGGCAACUUUAGGUGGUAACAUUUCAUUCAGCUUCUCUGCCUUCUCUGGACUAGUGGAUGGAGUGGAAAUUUAUGGGCUCCCAGUUCCUAUCAUGAGCAGCUGGAGAUCUCAACUUCAUCUUGGAGCCCUACCUCACAAAAGCAUUUCAAGUUCUCAAGGCGUGUCCCAUGGCUGGAAUGAUGUGCUUCACAGAGAAAGGUUAAGGAAACAAACAUUCACCUUCAGUGUUGGAAUCUACGGAAGCAAAUACCAACUAAAACAUGACCAAAAGUCAAUUGAAGGAGAAACAGAACAGAUUGGAAUUCCUUGUGGCCCCCCUCCUGGUUUCUUUGAGGCCCCAGGUUUUGGCUUAAAUCUUUUAAAUAAUUCUUUACAGCUAACAUUGAUUUGGUGUCAAAACCUUACAUAUUCAAGAAACACUGUGAAUGCUAUUAAAGCCAGAAAAUGAUGAUUCAAAGCAGUUUGGAAAUUAUUUGAGCAUACAGAGUUCCCACCAGGGAUCAGAUCCGAGCUGCAGUUGUGACCUACACAGGACCGGAUCCUUAACCCACCGUGGGGGGGGUAUCAAACCUGUGUUCUAGUGCUGCAAAGUCACCGCCAAUCCUGUUGCACAACAGUGGGAACUCCAAGAAGCUGUACAUUCCUCCUCUGCCUCUGAGGCCAUGUAGCCUGCAUGAUCUAGAUGCUGCCAAUCAAAGAUGGUAGUGUCUUCAUUGACCUCAGUAGUUGCAUGAGAUGCAGGCUGCCUGGCCACCCCCCCCCCAACACUUUGGAGGCAUAAUAUGAGCAAGAAAUAUAUAUAUAUAUUUGUUGUUUUAAACCAUAAGUAUUAAUUUCUUCAUUUACUACCAUGUCACCUAUCUUAUCCUGAUAAUAAAGUUGCUUAGGCAAGAACUCACCAAAAAAGAGUCUUUGAGUCCCUGUCUAAAUGAGGUGAGGGUGUAAACAGAUUUUUCAUCUUCAGAUGUCAGCUUAAAACUGAUCCUUCUUCAAUAUUUGCAUAAUGCCACAAGAUCUUAAAGCUCCACAAAUACAGGGGCUGAAUUUGUUUUGUUUUGCUUUGUUUUAUUGAAUUUCCAGCAUAGUAGCAAUUUAAUACAUUUUUGAAAAAUGAAAUGAUGAAUAAACAAAUAAUAUCAAUGAAUGAAUGAAUCACACAAGAAAUUGCUGGGACACAAAGAAAGGUAACCAUGACUGUUGAACUAAGCGUUUUAUCUCCUUCUGGUCUCUCUUACUGUUUUUUAUCUUGUUCUUCAAAUAAAACUGAUAAUAGAUAUUUAGGUGGACUCUCCUGAUUGACAGUGAUGUUAAUUAUAAGAAACAUUUGACCAUAAGGGAAAGAGGAGUUAUAUUGGAACUGAGGGGCUGCUAAAUAUG